CCGAGCGAGGGCCCCCGGCCCGACCUCCAACCCUGUGUGGACCAACACCCGUUGCCUCGGGGGUGACCCGGCCUCCGUGCCGCACUCCGGCGCGAUCGCGCCGGCCCCCGGUGGACCAUCUCAACACUGCGUCUGUACGUCGGAGUACUUGAUGAAUCAAUCA
rnacentral:misc_RNA from 1 species